GGAGGGUGCAAGCGUUAAUCGGAAUUACUGGGCGUAAGGGCGCGUAGGUGGUUUUAUAAGUUAGAUGUGAAAUGUCUGGGCUUAACCUAGAUUAGUCAUCUGAUACUGUGAGACUAGAGUACGGUAGAGGAUAGUGGAAUUUCCGGUGUAGCGGUGAAAUGCGUAGAUAUCGGAAGGAACAUCAGUGGCGAAGGCGACUAUCUGGACUGAUACUGACACUGAGGCGCGAAAGCGUGGGGGGAGCGAACAGGAUUAGAUACCCUGGUAGUCCACGCUGUAAACGAUGACAACUAGCUGUUGGAACUGAAGAGUUUUUAGUGGCGUAGCAAACGCGCUAAGUUGUCCGCCUGGGAGUACGGCCGCAAGGUUA
rnacentral:rRNA from 1 species